rnacentral:lncRNA from 1 species
CUCUAAAACUUUAUCUUUUGGUUUCCUUUUGCUGGUGAGUUUGGGCUUAGCUUCGGCGGCCCGAUCUCUUCUUUCUUACGAUAUUCCUCCUCAUCGAUCUGGAUACGAUAAUUAUGAUCAUCCUGUAGUUAACCCUAAAGUAGGAUACGAACAUGACCGUCGUGAUGGAUACUACCAUGACCGUGACCAUCAUGAUGCACCUUAUGGUGGUGGUGCUGGUGGAGGAUAUGGAGCUGGAGCUGGAGCUGGCUCAUCUCUUGGAGGCUCUGGAUAUGGAAGUGGAGGAGGUGGUGGUUCUGGAUAUGGAGGUGUAGGAAACCACGAGGUUGGUUAUGGUAGUGGUGGAGGGGGUGGAUAUGGAGCUGGAGUUGGCUCUGACCUUGGUGGUAGCGGAUACGGAAGCGGUGGUGGUGGAGGCAGUGGAGGAGGAUACGGUGAUUUAGGAGGACGUGGAAAAGGGUACGGUAGCGGUGGAGGUGGAGGAAGUGGAUAUGGAGGUAGAGGAGACCAUGGAGUUGGUUAUGGAAGUGGUGGAGGUGGAGGAUAUGGAAGUGGAGUAGGUGGUGGUGCAGGAGUGGUAGACCAUGGUGUAGGUUAUGGGAGUGGAGGAGGAGGUGGGGCUGGUAGUGGUUAUGGUGGUUCCAAAGGAUAUGGAGGUGGAAGCGGCGGCGGUGGGGGAGCCGGUUAUGGUGGUGGAGCACAUGGAAGUGGAUAUGGAAGUGGUGGUGGAGCUGGAAGUGGUGAAGAAGGAGGAUAUGAUGGUGGAUAUGCACCGUAAACAAAGAAAAGAAAAGAAAAAGCUCAAAGUUUUAUGGCUAAAAUGAGAAUGCUUACCCUAAUAUCAUCAAUGUGUGUGUGUGUUAGCAAAAAAAAAAAAUAAAAGAAUUUGGGUAAGAAAUGUUAUAUUAAUUAUCUUUGAGCUUUUAAGUAAUUUGAAUGUAAUAUAAUAUAUAUAUAAAAAAAGCUAAUCCAUGUGUUCCAAAGUGAACCAACAUGAAGUAUAUUUUCUCCCUUUGUCAUCAUGAUCAUCUUAAACUUGUGGUUAUUAUGUGGGCUCUCAUUAUUAUUCCAAGAUAGCAACGUCGGGAUAUUCAAAUAUUUUUCAUAUGUAAUGUCUUAAGACUAAAUCACUAUGAUCUAUAUGCUUUAAUUAAGUUCAAAACUAUUUUGGAAGCAUUAUGAUUAAUAUAUUGAUUACUUAAAUACUAUUAUAUGGUUUUCAAGGUAACUUGAUGUUGUUAAUAAAAGAAAUCUUUAAUAUUUAAUCAGUCCUUUCUCUUAAAAUUUAGUAAAAAUAAAUACUAAAAUGGUAUGAUGUUUUAUGGUUGGAUUUGGGGUAUGUGUUUUGGCUUGUCCCUCUAGUUGUGACUUGUUCAAAAUAAGUGUACAAUCAAAUUCACUUGGGUUAUUAAAGACAAUUGAUAAACAAAAAUUGCCAAAACGAUAGAGCAUAACUAUUUAAUCGGUAUAAAACUUGUACAAUCCAUUAAUCAUAAUAUACUUUUUCUAAUUGAUCUCUAAUUGAUCGUACAUACUAGUUAGUGUCGAUAAAAAACUCAAUUUGACGUAUAAAUAUUUGUUUGUUGUAAAUGAACAUCUAAGUAUAUUCUUGAUUAAUUAUUCUUAUACUAAGAGUAACAUUGACCCCUCUAUUCUUUAGUAUUUGGUUAAAAGAAUAAAAAAUUAGUAAGUGAUGAAUCUUAGUGUGCUAUAGGUUGAUCAACCAAUUAAAAUUAGUCGUUUCAAGCAAUACUUUCGAAAAAAUUCAUUAAAUAGGAGUUAUUUAAACUAUCAACCCUGAGUUUUUAUACAUUACAAUAAAUUUAAUCUUUGAUGUCGGUCAAAAACUAAUAUAUAGGAGUACAAUAUAGAUCACCAGAUCGAUAUGGAAGACAAUGUUAUGGAAGAUGUUCAAUGUUAAUCACUUUUAUGUUCGUUUUGGUCUUGGCAUUAUAAAUAAUUUAAAUGGUAGUUUUUGCUCACACUACAAAUGUGUUAGACUAUUAGUCAUCAAAUAGUUUGAAUUCCUUGUAAAAAAAAUUAGUUGAAACAAAAAUAAAUAAUUAUCUUUGCAUUAAAAUAAAAUAAAAUAAAUAAAAUAGAUUUUUUUGUGAAUAUUUUGGUCAGGUGUUCUAUUUUUUAUAAUUUCCCAUAAAAAAUAUGUGUAAUAAGUUAUUUAAAAUACUAAUAGUAUUAAUUAGUUUACUUAAUAAAUCAAUUAUAUCUCUAAAUGAUAUUUUGGUAGAUUUAAAAAUAUUUUGAUUCAUUUUGCUAUAUUUGAAAAAGAAACCAUAAAAUUCUACUUCAUAUUCGCAAUAGAUCAUGGUAAACUUAGAUAGGCAUCUAUUAUUUAUAUAUAUGGUGAUAGAUACUUAUGUAUCUAUAUCCAAGCCCAUCAUCUAAAUAUUUUCAAAUGGUUUUCAAUUGAAAACAAAUUUCUCAAUAAGUAAUUAAAAAUUAGGUUUUUAUUCACUAAUAAUUAUUAUUUAAAUGUGAACAAAUAAAGUUUAGCUCGUAUAUAAUGGGUCAGUAGGUACACUCGGAUAUCUCCACUAGAUGGACACCCCUUAGCACCCUCAUUAUCUCCGUUUCAUUAAUAUAAAAAAUCGAAUUGAAUACACGAGAAGUAAAGAGAACAACCCAAACAAAAAACAAAGAACUAGAGACAAGCCCAAAACAAGUACAAACAAUUAGAAAGCAUGAAGAAAUUAGUGCUUUAAACCCCUAAACCGCAAUGUUACUUAACAAAUAAAAUUGUUAUUUAAAAGUUUGAAGUUAUUAUUGAGUUUUAUUUUAGCAAAUUAAUCAUCUCUUAAAUUAAAAAUCUCAAACAUACAUGGAAGAUAAGAUCAAUUAAGCACAUGUUGGAUGAAUUUUGUUCGAAUAAAAAUUAAAACAACUUAUUGUUAUCAACUUAUAAGUUAUAUAUAUGAUGAUGGUGGUGCAGAGGUGAAAACUUAGUUUGAGAUCUCUCCCUACAUCUACUAUGCUUUUACGUUCUAAUGUAUUUUGUGGUAAAAAAAUCAAUUAUAAACUUUUAAGAAAAAUUUUCAUAUGUUAUUAUUUUUUCUCUAAAUUCUAAACUAGCCAGGUUAUCAACAAAACAAAUACCACUAGAGUUUAAGGGAUUAGGAAGCAUAUAUGAAUAUCUCAACUUGGUUAACACGUCGUUUUUAAACAUUUCUCAUCAGGUUGCUGUUUCAAAAGUGAUGCACUGAUGUGAAGAAACAUAUAGGAGAAAAGUGAGAUGGAAAGUUAGUAUAUUGGACAGAGUACAUAGUACAUAGUAGGUUUAUUAAUUAAUUUAUCCAAAUGAUAAUCUCAUUACCAAGCACUAUGUGAUUUAGAUAUGAAUAAAAUGUGAUCAUUUUUCCACCACUAUUACAUAGCAAAUGGGAAAACAUCUCAUUGUGGUUUGAUAUUUUAAAAAACAAUUAUGGUAAUGCAAGUCGUCUCAUAUCCCAUAAUAUUAUCUCAGUCUCAUGGCGACUGAUACAAAAGGACAAAACUAACUUCAUUAAAAUAUGUUCUCUCCUUCCUACACUUUUUAGGUAUAUAUCAUUCAUAUAUUAAUCACUGCAAUUGGUUAGGUGGACUACAAAAACAUAGAUAUAGUCCGAGAUAAAAUUAAGUACGGUUAUAUUUUACGAGACUUUUGAUGUGUUUGAUUACAUUUUCAUGUGUUUCUUUUAGAAAAUAAGUUAUUUUGAAAAAACUAAAGUAUUUUAAACAAUUUUUAGAACAAUCAAUUUCUUGAAAAAUAUUUUUUUCUUAAUUCAAUCUAAGAUGGAUCCUCAAAAUAUUUGAGGGUAGUUCUUUUAUAAAAGUAUUUACACUAGGUUGGUUUAUGAAGUAAAAUAUUGAUCGGUAAAUUCAAGUUUUAAAUUAGAAAAAUUGAAUAUUUUUAAAAAUAGAAGAAUUGGCUAACUAUUUACAACUCAUACCAAAAUUUUAAUACAAAUCCAAAGUAUCUAUUUUUUAUUUUAUUAUUAUUAUUAUUUUUUGCUAUAGGAUGUAAAUACUAUCUGUUUUCUUGUAAAUUUCUCUUACAAUCCUCUACGAGAAAGUCUUAAUUUUUAUAUUUAUGAUUUAUAUUAUAAUAUAAUUAUUUGGAACCAUAUAAUAAAUAAAAGGAAAAUUGUAAAACAUAACAUUUGACAAAAUAUCUUCGUAGAAAAAUUUGUUGUGUAAUCAAUUUUGAGGUUUUGUUAUAUGGAGCGUAAAUAUUUUGUCAAAUUUUCUAUUUGUGAAAAAAAAAACUUAUAGGUAAUUUGAAAGGUAAGUGAUCUUGUUUAAGAUCCAAAUUUCUUUUAUGAAAGUUUAAUUUAGAAUACAUACGAGAAAAAUAGAUUAAUCUAGAAUGAUAAAUGUAAGAUAGGUUUGGGAAGUACCAAUAAAUUUUAGGCAUGUGAUAGACUAUAACUGUGAAGAUAUAUAGUCUAUUGCUAUCUUGAAUGGCUCAUUCUUGUUUGAAAAUGACCUUAUUUAAAACACAACUUUUUUAUAAAAGAAAAUCCCUUGCAUCAUUCAAACAAUCUUACAAGAUCGUAUUAGUGGAAGAUGAGAUAGAAUUCUGACAUGUGUAUUAUUAGUAUACUUGAAUAGUUUCUUAUCUAACUUUUGAGCAAGUAGUGGAGAAGCUGAUCAUGAACCCUAAACCCACCGUAUCAUUCACUAUAUAAAGGAGAUCACUACAUGCAUUCUAAGGCAUCCCUUCUCCAAAUGGCUAUCUUUAGAACUUUCUCUUUCGGUUUUCUUUUGUUGGUGAGUUUAGGCUUAGCUUCUGCGACCAGAAGUCUUCUCACCUAUGAUCCACCACAUCACUCUGUAUAUGAUGAUCAUAACACUAAAGUAGGUUACGGACGUGACCAUCAUGAUCAACCUUAUGGUGGUGGUGUUGGUGCUAGUGGAGGAUAUGGAGCCGGAGCUGGCUCUGGAUAUGGAGGUGUAGGAUACGAACAUGACCAUCAUGAUGGAUACGAACGUGAUCAUGAUCGAUCUUAUGGUGGUAGUGCUGGUGGAGGAUAUGGAGUUGGAGCUGGCUCCUCUCUUGGAGGCUCUGGAUAUGGAAACGUAGAUCAUGGGGUUGGUUAUAGCAAUGGUGGAAGUGGUGGAUAUGGAGCUGGUGUUGGCUCUGACCUUGGUGGUAGCGGAUAUGGAAGCGGUAAUGGCGGAGCAAGUGGAAGUGGAAAUGGUGAUUUAGGAGGACGUGGAAAAGGCUACGGUCGCGGUGGUGUUGGAGGAAAUGGAUAUGGAGGUAGAGGAGACCAUGGCCGAGUAGUAGGCCAUGAUGAUGUAGUUUAUGGUGGUUCCAAAGGAUAUGGAGGUGGAAGUGGCGUCGGUGGGGGAGCUGGUUAUAGCGGUGGAGCAAGUGGAAGUGGAUAUGGAAGUGGUGGUGGAGCUGGAAGUGGAAGUGGCUAUGGCGGAAGUGGUGAAGAAGGAGGAUAUGAUGGUGGAUAUGCACCUUAAAUAAAAGGGGCUAAAACAUCAUCUAAAAGCUUAUCGUUAAAACGAUAAUACUUACCUAAAUAUCAAUGUUUGUUAGCAAAAAUAAAGAAUUUAGGUAAGAAUGUUAUGUUCCUCUUUUGAAUUUUAGUAACUUCAAUGAAUGUGAUAUUAUAAAAACUAGCUGUUUCAUGGGGUUCUAAAGACCAACAAACAUGCAUGAAAUACUGAGUUAAUACAACGUACGCCAUUCCAAACGUGCUAUUUUAUGGAUUCCAAAGUUGACUUUGAACUAAGGACUAAAUAAUCCUUUAACACCUUCUAAACACAAAUUAUUUCACAGACGUCAAGAUCAGUUAAUCAAGUUAAAACUUAAUAGGUCAAAUUCAUCAUUCCAAAAUGACUUGUAGAAAAAUUUUGAGACUUAGUUCGAGUAUGUUAAAUUCUAAUGUUACGAAGUUUUCUUAACAAAAUUGAGAAGGAGGUUGGGAUGGUGGAUAUGCACUCAAAAAUUUCAUCUCAAAAGAGAAUUGAGAAACAUACUUUUCAAGUAACAAACCCAAUAUUCAUAUUAAUUGGGCAACAAAAGUAAGGAAAUAGGGGUAAAAAGAGAACAUUGUUUUCUAAAUAAUCUAUGUCGAGGUUUGCUUCUUGGCCAUGAAAUUCGAACCAAUUAUUCAAUGAUAAGCAAAUUUGGAUUAAGUAUGCAUGUGUAAUGUGACAAAAUUAUUCAACCACAUUCACGUUAUUUUGCUUUCCUAAUCAUAUUUAUGAAAUAAGAUGGUUUCAUCUUUCAAAAUCAAUACACAAUUACAAAAGUAGUAAUACUUCUAUCUUAUAAACAAUGUUGAUCUCUUGAAUUUUCCAUGUAUGGAAUUAUCAACAUUCUCCGCAUAUUGUUCUAGGUUAUUUUUUUAACCAGUGUAAUCAACCUCAAACAAAAACAAAAGUGACAAAACCAAGAAAAUAACAAAAUUUUCACUUAAAUAAAAGAGGGAAAAAAAAUAGCACAUCCUAUAAGCCAAAAUAAGGGCGAGGGGUUUAGGGUUUAGGGUUAUUAGACCAAGACUACCAAAAUGUCUAAUGACUUUUAUAACGAAACAUCUAGUUUAGAUUGAUACAUAUGAUAUGUAGCAUCUUCACAGCAUCCAAGAUCAAGAGUCGAUAUAUUAUCAUGAAAAGAAAGUACAAAAGGGAAGUUAGGGAAAAACUUGGAGUCAACGUUAAGAGAACCAUUAAAAGUUUUAGAAGUUCAAUUAAUAUUUGUAAAAUUUUAAGAGCUAAAUUUUUAUAAUCCAACGUUUGAGGUCUAGUAAUUGCAAUUGACCAUCAUACUUCAGGGAUAAUUUUUGAAAAUUUCCUUUUCUAUUAUUAAAUUAUCAAGAAAAAAAAGUUUAAUGACGGUCAAAAUAAUCCCUGGCGUCCAUAUAAUAAUUUUCAAUAACAUUUCACGACACUAAAAAAAAUUGGAACUUUGCUCACAUUUUUCUAAGAAACGUAAAUAUUUUGUCAACUUUACUAUAUAUAUAUUAUUGUUACUCUUUUAAAAACUUAAGUAAUUUUGAUUCGACCAAUUUUUUUUGCUAUCAACUACAAUUGUUAAAAAAUAUAUAUAUACGAAAAAAAAUGGUUAAUUUUCAUUCACAAAAUAUUUAAAAAAGUAAAAUUUUAAAUUUGUCUCGUAUCUUUUGGAAUAAGGUUUGUCUUUAAUUAAGGAAAUUUAAAAGUUGCUAAAACAUAGCUAAAUUAAACAAAAGUUACUUUUUUAAAGAAAAUUUUUUAAAUAACAAAAUUAUUAAAAAUAUAAUUAAAUUAGAAUUUUUGAAUCUAUUAUUGAUAUAAUUAAGAAAAGUCUAUCAACAUAUAUCAAUUCUAAUAUUUUAUUAUAUUUUAAUUCAUUUGGUUAUAUUUAACAACUCAUUCCCACACAAACUAUAAUUCAAAUUAAAAACAUAUUUGAACAAAUAUUUUGUAUAAUUUAAGUGAUGAAUCGCACUAAUAUUGUUAAAAUGUGUUUAAAAUGUGAUACUUUUCCCACCAUAUUUUAUAGCAAAUGGCAGAUAAUUUAAUGUUUCUUUGAAGCAAGAAUUAGGCAAAGAAGCAUAUAUAUAUAUAUAUAUAUAUAUAUAUAUAUAUAUAUAAUAUAUAUAUAAUAUGUAAUUAAAUUUUAUAUUAUAGUUAUGCAAAAUCGUUUCAUAAGCCACUUCAUCUCUCUCUAUUUCAUGGCAUCAAGUAAACAAAAAGGGAAAAAGGGAAAAAGAGACCUAAUAAAAUAUGUGUUCUUUAAUUGGUGGAUUUUUAAUUAGCAUUAUUAAUUAAUCAAUCAUGUAAAUAUCCUACAAAGAAUAUUUGUUCUUAAGAUAAUUCAUUGCAUGAUGAAUCAAAAUUUUAGGUUGGGUGUUCCUGUAUACUUAAAAACAUUAUUGCAUUACCAAAUUAAAUUUAUACAAACCAAACGAUAUCAUUUUGUUCGUAUUAAGUUCGUUUAAGUUUAGAUGGUAUAUGAAAGUUGGUUUGUUAUGUUUAGGUUUAUUAAACAACAUUGUAUUUAGACGAUAGUGUAAACUUUAAGUUGUUAAACAUGUGUUUUAUCUUAGUCUAAUGUCGUCUAAUACAAAUAUAUUAUGAUACUUUUUAAUAUUUAAAAAUAUUUUUAGAAGUUUUAUAAAUUAAAAUAAUUUUUCUAAAAAUUAAGUUUCAUCAUUUUUAAGAGGAGAAAAGACACCCUAAACAUAAAUUAAAGAAAAUAGAAUGAUAUUGUAUUAAUUACAUAAAUUUAAUCAAAAAUUAAGAACUAAAAAUAAAAUUGUUAUCAAAAUGAAAAUUCAUUUUAACAUUCAAACCAUCCAAAAAAAAGAACAUCUAAUUACUCUAUUGUAACAGAAGUUUUAUCCUCUUAAGAAAAAAAUAGUUUAAUGUUAAAAGAGUAUACAAAACGUGUUAAUAAGUACACAACUCAAUUAGCAUAAAGCUUAAAUUUUAUUUAGAUCAAGACUCAAAUCUAUGAGAUCACAGGAUAUUGCAAAUUUAGGAUUUUAGGUUAUCGUUUAAAGUUCUAAAAUAUUGCAAAAUGGUGCAAGUGGGAAGAUGGGAUCCAAAUCAAGUAUGGAUAUGAUUUAGUUCCAAUUAUAAUUUAAGGUUAUAGUUUAAUGAUUUAGUUACAACACUUUAGUGUUUUGCCUCUUGAACUUCCCUUAAGCUAUAAUCCAUAAUUAAUAAUGUUUUUGAGCACGUGCCUUCUCUUUAAUUGCCACUAAGGUACCACACUAUAGAGAAGAGCUAAUGAAUCCUUGUUUUCUAUAUAAGGAGAUGGAUCAAUGCAUUCUAAGCAUAUACUCCUAUCCAUGGCUAUUUCUAGAGUGUUGUGCAUUGGCUUUCUUCUUUUUGUGGGGUUAGGGUUAGCUUCGGCUGCCCGAACUCUUCUUGAUUAUGAUCCACGUGCACGUCGUUAUGAUUACGAUCGUCCUACUCCAAGAGUAGGAUACGAUCCAAGCCAUCGUGAUCAAUCCUAUGAUAAUGUAUAUGGUGGAAGCUCUAGCAGAGGAUAUGGAGCUGGAGACUCUGCUCUUGGAGGUUCGGGACGAUAUGAAGGUGGUGGAGGACGUGAUUACGGACAUGGAGGCCGAAAUGAUGAUCGUGGUGUUGGAUAUGGAGGUCGAAAUGAUGAUCGUGGUGCUGAAUAUGGAGGUAGAAAUGAUGAUCAUGGUGCUGGAUAUGGAAGUCGAAAUGAUGAUCGUGGUGUUGGAUAUGGAAGUCGAAAUGAUGAUCGUGGUGUUGGAUAUGGAAGUCGAAAUGAUGAUCGUAGUGUUGGAUAUGGAGGCCGAAAUGAUGAUCGUGGAGUUGGAUAUGGUAAUGGUGGUGGAUAUGGAGGUGUAGGAGGACAUGGUGAUGGUUAUGGUAACAAUGGUGGUGGAAGCUAUGGAGAUCGUUAUGGCCCUUCUCUUGGAGGUUCAGGAUAUGGAAGUGGAGGAAAAGGAAGUGGCAAUGGCUAUGACGAUCAUUCUCGUGGAAAUGGUGCGCGUGACAAUAGCUAUGGAGAUUCUCAUGGACAUGAAGGACGUGACAGUGGAUAUGGAAGUGGUGGAGGAGUUAGUGGAGGCUAUGGCAAUGGAGGAGUUCAUGGAGGGGAGCAUGAUAAUAGCAAAGGAAGUGGAGAAGAAGGGGGUAGGGACGGUGGAUAUGCUUUCAAAAAUUCCAUCUCAAAGGAGAAUUGAGAACUCUUUUUCAAGUAAUGAACCCAAUAUCAUAUUAUGUUAACAAAAAAAAUAAAGAAUUGGGUAUAAGAGAAUGUUGUUUUCUAAAUUUAUGUUGAAUUUGUUACCAACGAAUGUCAAAUUCGAAUCAAUGGGUACAAUGAUAAUCAAAUUUAGGUUAUGUUUAUUGUGAUAAAUUUAUUGCACUCUUAUUUGUUUUGUUUCUCUAUAUAUAUUUUUUCUAUAUAUCCAUAUUAAUAUGGGUGGUUUUGGACCGAAGAAAAAAACAUCAUCUAAAAGUUUUUCGUUAAAAUCAUAUAAUUCUUACCUAAUAUCAAUGUUUGUUAGCAAAAAGUAAAAGAAUUUAGGUAAGAAUGUUAUGUUUCUCUUUGAAUUUUAGUAACUUUUUCAAUGAAGUUGUGAUAUUAUAAAAUCUAGUCAUUUCAUGAAGUUCUAAAGGCAAACAAGCAUGCACCAAAUACUCUAGCUAAUACAACGUACGCCAUUCCAAACGUGCUAUUUUAUGGAUUUCAAAGUUAAACUUUGAAACAAUCUUUUAAUACGUUCUAAACACAAAUUAUUUAACAUAAAUCAUGGGCUAAUCAAGUCCAAACUUAAUAGAUCAAACUCAUCAUUCCAAAUGUCUCCUACAUAACUUGUAGAAAAUUUUAAGAUUUAGUUCGAAUAUAUUAAAUUCGAUGUUCCAAGUUGUUUUAACAAAAUUGAAAAACUUCACCAUUAUUUUGAGAUUUUUUUUUAUGAUUACAUCCUUUAAUUUAUUGAAUAAUUAUAAACAAUCUUGGUUUCAAGAGAAUUAUAUUUACGCAACGAUCAUUUGCAGAUGUUCAAAAUAUUUCUACCCUCAAUUAUACUUACAGAAAAACAUUUGUUGCACUUAUCUCUUCCAAACCAUAAUAGUUUUUAGGAAAAGAAAAAAGAGACAUGUUUAUGAAAGAAAAUUAGGCUACGAUGCUCAUUGUCGUGGAUAUGGAGCGCGUGACAACGGGUAUGGGAGGUGGAGGAGUUAGGGGUGGCUAUGGUGGUGGUAGCAAAUUGAAGAGAUGGUUAUGGUAAAUAGAGAGGUGUUCAUGGAGGAGAAUAUGAUAAUGGCAAAGGAAAUGGAGAAGAAGGAGGUUGUGAGGGUGGAUAUGCACUCAAAAUUAAUUCCAUCUGAUCAAAAGAGAAUUGAGAAACUUUUUUUUUUUUUUUGUAAGUAAUGAACCCAAUAUUCAUAUUAAUUGCACAACAAAAAAUAAAGAAAUUGGGUAAGAGAGAACGUUGUUUUCUAAAUCUUAUGGGUGGAAGGUUUGCAUGUUCGUGAAUGUAAAUAUCAAAUCAAUUUUUUAAUGAUAAGCAAAUUUGGAGUAAGUGUGCAUUUAUACUGUGACAAAUUGAAUCAACCACAUAUACGUUAUUUUGUUUUUCCAAUGAUAUUUAUUAUAUAAGAGGAUUUUAUCUCAAAAUCAAUCAACAAAUACGUGAAUAGUAAUACGUCAAUUUUAUAAACAAUAAUGAUGAUCUCUUGAAUUUUUCAUGUGAAAUUAUCAACAUUCUCCAUGUAUUGUUCUCGGUUAUUAUUUUUGUAACCAAAGUGUAAUCCUCCAAAAAAAUACAAAAUUGACAACCAAGAAAAUAACUAAAUUUUCAUUUAAAAAGAAAAAAGAGAAUAGCAUAUCAAAUAUCAAAUAGCCAUGCAAAAUAAGCUUAACUAGGGGAGAGGGAGUCUAUAAGUCAAAUUGCAUAGUCUAAACCAAGGCUAACAAAUGAAUGAUGAUCCUACGAUAAAAUAUCUUAAGUAGAUUGAUACAUAUGAUAUGUAGCAUCUUCACCGCAUCUAAGAACAAGAGUCGAUGUGUUAUCACAAAAAUAAAAUACAAAAGGGAAGUUUGGGAGAAAAUUAGAGUUAUAAUAAUGUUGAGAGAGAUCCAAUUAAUUAAUACUCUUAAAAUUUUAAGAGAUAAAUUUUUAUAUUUGAGAAUUUAAAUGUGUAAUUGCGACUAAUUAACCAAUCGUGUUGAUUUUUGCAAUUUACCUUUUUUUAUUAAAUUUUCAAGAAAAAAAUAUUUAAUGACGAUCAAAAUGAUCCAUGACGUACAUACAAUUAUUGUCAAACAUUCCAUGUUACUAAAAGAAAAUUGAAACUUUCUCCAACGUUAUAAAUAUUUUAUCCACUUUACUAUUUUUUUUAUUAUUUCCCUAAUUUUGAUUCAAUCAAUUUUCUAGCUAUCAACUACCAUUCUUUAAAAAAAAAUCAAAUAUACAAAAAUAAAAAAUUGUCAAUUUUCGUCCAAAAAAAUUUUAAAAUAAAAUUUGGAAUUUGGAAUAUGGUACCUUUUGGAAUAAGUUUUAAAGCCUUUGAUUAAAAAAAAAAAGUUGCUUCAACCAAAAUCAUUGUAAAUAAUGUUGAAAUUAUAAAAUUAUUAAAAAUAUUUAUAAAUAUAGACAAACUAAAAUUUUAGAAUCUACCGUUGAUGUAACUAAUAAACGUAUAUCAGCGUCUACCGAAUAUAUUCUAAAAAACGGUAAUAUUUUAUAAAUAUUUUAGUAUGUUUACCCUUUCACAAACUUAAUUAAAAUUAUAAUCCAAAUCAAAACCUAUCCAAACAAAUAUUUGGUGUAACUUAAGGGAUGAAUCGCACUAAUAUGACUCAAACAUAUUUUGAGAAACGUGUUUAAAAUGUGAUAAAUUUUUCCACAAUAUUUUAUAGCAAAUGGCAAAUAAUUUAAAGUUUCUUUGAAGCAAGAAUUAGGCAAAGAAGCAUGUAUAUAUAUACAUAUAAUGUAAUUAAAAUUUAUAUUAUAGUGAUGCAAAAUCGUUUCAUAAGCCACUUCAUCUCUCUCUGUUUCAUGGCAUCUUAAGUACACAAAAAGAGAAAAAGGGAAAAAGAGACCUAAUAUAAUAUGUGUUCUUUAAUUGGUGGAUUUUUAUUUAGCAUUAUUAAUUCAUCAAUCACCAAGAAUAUUUAUUCUCAACAAAGUUAUUGAAUGAUAUUAAAUUUACAAGAACUAAAUGAUAUAUCAUUUCGUUUCAUAUUAAAUUUUUGUAAGUUUAGAUAAUUUAUGAAAGUAGGUUUGUUAUGUUUAGGUUAACUAAACACAUACAUGUUAAAUUGAAUAUGUGUUUUAUCUUGGUCAAUUGUGCAAAGUGGAUCCGUGGCGCAAUGGUAGCGCGUCUGACUCCAGAUCAGAAGGUUGCGUGUUCGAUUCACGUCGGGUUCAAUGUCCAUUUUUUAUUUUAGUCAUUUGUGAUCACAAAUAAAUUUAAACCUCAUAAUCAUUGCAUUUUAGGUUAUUGUGUAAAGUUAUAAAACAUUACAAAGUGGAACAAGUAUUGAUAUGAUUUCGUUCCAAUUAUAAUUUAUUUUUAUAGUUUAAUGAGACAUACGAAAAAGCCAACACUUUAGUAUUUUGCCUCUUGAACUUUACUUAAGUUAUAUAUAAAAAAUUAAUAAUGUUGUUGACCACAUGCCUCCUCUUUAAUUGCCACUAAGGUACUACACUAUAGAGAAGAGCUAAUGAGUCCUUGUUUUCUAUAUAAGGAGAUGGAUGAAUGCAUUCUAAGCAUACAUUCCUAUCCAUGGCUAUCUCUAGAGUGUUGUGCAUUGGCUUUCUUCUUUUUGUAGGUUUAGGGUUAGCUUCGGCUACCCGAACUCUUCUUGAUUAUGAUCCACGUGCACGUCGUUAUGAUUACGAUCAUCCUACUCCAAGAGUAGGGUACGAUCCAAGUCAUCGUGAUCAAUCAUAUGAUAAUGCAUACAGUGGAAGUUCUAGUAAAGGAUAUGGAAUUGGAGACUCUACUCUUGGAGGUUCUGGACGAUAUGGAGGUGGCAAAGGACAUGAUUCCGGAUAUGGAGGUCGAAAUGAUGAUCGCAGUACUGGAUAUGGAGGUCGAAAUGAUGACCGCAGUGAUGGAUAUGGAGGUCGAAAUGAUGACCGCGGUGCUGGAUACGGAGGUCGAAAUGAUGAUCGCGGUGUUGGAUAUGGAGGUCGAAAUGAUGAUCGCGGUGUUGGAUAUGGAGGUCGAAAUGAUGAUCGUGGAGUUGGAUAUGGUAAUGGUGGUAGAUAUGGAAGUGUAGGAGGACAUGGUGAUGGUUAUGGUAACAAUGGUGGUGGAAGCUAUGGAGAUCGUUAUGGCCCUUCUCUUGGAGGUUCAGGAAAAGGAAGUAACAAUGGCUAUAACGAUCAUUCUCGUGGAAAUGGAGGACGUGACAGUGGCUAUGGAGAUUCACAUGGACAUGAAGGACGUGAGAGUGGAAAUGGAAGCGGUGGAGGAGUUAGUGGUGGCUAUGGUAAUGGAGGAGUACAUGGAGGAGAGUAUGAUAAUAGCAAAGGAAGUGGAGAAGAAGGGGGUAAUGAUGGUGGAUAUGCUGUCAAAAAUUCUAUCUCAAAGGAGAAUUGAGAAUUCCUCUUUUUCAAGUAAUGAACCCAAUAUCAUAUUAUGUUAACGAGAAAUAAAGAAAUUGGGUGAGAGAAUGUUGUGUUUUAAAUUUAUGUUGAAUUUUCUUUGAAUAAUUCGAAUCAAUAGGUACAAUGAUAAUCAAAUUUGGAUUAUGUUUGUUGUGACAAAUUGACUGUACCCUAUUUUGUUAUAUUUCUCUAUAGAUUUUUUUAUAUAUAUCCAUAUUAAUACGGGUGAUUUUGAACUGAAUCAAAUGACAUAAACAAAGAGAAAAAAAUAUUGUCUAAAAGUUUAUUUGUUAACACCUUAUAAUUCUUAGUAACUUUUUCAAUGAAUGUGUGAUAUUAUAAAAAUAAGUUGUUUCAUGGGAUUCCAAGGAUGGACAAAAGAUGCAUAAAAUACUCUAACUAAUAAAAUGUACACCAUUCCAAACGUGCUAUAUUUUAUGAUUUUCAAAGUUAAACUUUGAAACAAUCUUUUAACACCUUCUAAACACAAAUUAUUUAUCAUACAUGGUGGGCUAAUCAAGUCCAAACUAAUUAAUAGGUCAAACCCAUCAUUCCAAUUGUCUGCUACACGUAACUUAUAAAAAUUUUCAAGAUUUAGUUUGAAUAUUUUAAAUUCAAUGUUUCAAGUUUUUUUAACAAAAUUGAAAAAACUUCACCAUUUUCUUGAGAUUUUCUUAUUAUGAUUACAUCCUUUAAUUUGUUGAAUAAUUAUGUACGAUCUUGUUGCAAGAGAAUAAUAUAUAUAUAUUAUUAUAUUAUAUAUAUACAUACAUUCAUUCAUUUAGGUUUAUGUGGUUCAAAAUCUUUCUACCCUCAAUUAUACUUAAAAAGCAUUGGUUGCACUCUUCUCUUCCAAACCAUGAUAGUUUUUAGGAAAAAAAAGAAACAUGUUGAUGAAAGAGAAUUAGACUACGAUGAUCAUUCUCGUGGAUAUGAAGCGCGUGACAACGGAUAUGGGAGUGGUGGAGGAGUUGGUGGUGGCAGCGAAAAAGGUGGUUAUGGUAAUAGAGAGGUGUUCAUAAAGGAGAAUAUGAUAAUCGGAAAGGAAAUGGGGAAGAAGGAGGUUCUAAUGGUAGAUAUGCACUCAAAAUUAAUUUCAUCUAAUCAAAAGAGAAUUGGAAACUUUUUUUUAAGCAAUGAACCCAAUAUUCAUAUUAAUUGGGCAACAAAAAUAAAGAAAUUGGGUAAGAGACAACGUUGUUUUAUAAAUCUUAUAUGUCAUUAGUUUACUUUUUGGUGAAAGUAAAUAAUUUGGAUUAAGUAUGCAUUUGUAUUAGAACAAAUUGAAUCCAACCAUAUACACAUUAUUUUACUUUUUUAAUAAUAUUUUUUAUUAAAUUAGAUGGUUUUAUUUUAAAAUUAAUUGAUAAUUACGUGAAUAGUAAUAUGUAUAUCUUAUAAACAAUAAUGUUGAUCUCUUCAAUUUUUUAUAUGCAGAAUUAUCAACAUUCUCCACCUAAUGUUCUAGGUUAUUUUUGUAAUCAAAGUGUAACUCUCAGACAAAAACAAAAACGAAAAAACCAAGAAAAUAACUAAAUUUUCAUUUAAAAAGAGAAAAAAGAAUAGCAUAUCAAACAUCCAUCCAAAAUAAGCAUAAUUAAGGGAGAGGGGGCCUAUACGUCAAUUGCUUAGUCUAAACCAAGACUAACAAAUGCCUUGUCCUAUGAUAAAAUAUUUAUAUUUCAAAGAUACAUAUAUUUUCACUACAUCCAAGAUCAAGAGCCAUUGUAUUAUAACAAAAGAUUGUACAAAAGGGGAGUUGGGGAGAAACUUAGAGUCAUAAUGUUCAAAGAGAUCUAAUUAAUACUUGUAAAAUUUUAAGAGCUAAAAUUUUGUAACAGAGAUUGAGAGUGUAAUCGCAACAAAUAAUCAUACUUCAAUGGUUGAUUAAUUUAUCAAGAAAAGUUUUAAAAAAACAUUUAAUGACAGUCAACAUCAACCCUUUCACGUCAUUAAAAGAAAAUUGGAACUUUGCCCACAUUUCUUUAUUAUUUUGCUAUUAAAAAUUAAUUUUGAUUCAAUCAAUUUUUUAGUUAUCAACUACUAUUCUUAAAAAAAUAUAUAUAUAUACAAAAAUUACGAAAAAGAAAUAUUACUUCUCAAACAAGAAUCAUCUUAAAUAAUCAUCCUAUCCAUUUUAAAAAAUAUAUAUAUUUUCAAUAAAUUAAAUAAUAAAAUUAUUGAAAAUAUUUAUAAAUAUAACUAAAAUAAAACUCUAAAAUCGAUGGAGGAUGUAACUUAUGAAAGUCUAUUAGCAUCUAUCAUUAACAUAUUCUAAAAUAUUUUUGUAAAUAUAUUUUGUUUCAUUUUGCUAUACUUAAAAAUAACCUUCCACAAAUUUAAAACUCAAAUUAAUCAAAACCAAUCCCAACAAAUAUUUUGUAUAAUUUAUGCGAUGUGCAUAAAUACGCAUUUUCCCACCAUAUUUGAUAGCAAAUGGCAAAUUAUUUAAUGUUUGUUUGAAGCAAGAAUUAGGCAAAGAAGCAUAUAUCUAUAUAAUAUGUAACUAGAUCUUAUAUUAUAGUGAUGCAAAAUCGUUUCAUAAGGCACUUCAUAUCUCUCUGUCUCAUGGCAUCUUAAGUACACAAAAUGAGAAAAAGGGAAAAAGGGCCCUAAUAUAAUAUGUGUCCUUUAAUUGGUGGAAUUUUAUUUAGCAUUAUUAAUUAAUCAACCGUGUAAAAUAUGGUAGGAAGAAUUAUUCUAAUGAUGAAUGAAAAUUUUAGGUUGGGAGGUCCCAUAUAUGAAGCAUAUGAGAAAUUUUCAAUCUUAAAAGAGUGAAUUAUCAAAUUAAAUUUACAUGAACGAAAUGAUAUAUCAUUUGGUUUGUAUUAAGUUUGUUUAAGUUUAGAUGAUUUACGAAAAUAGGUUUGUUAUGUUUAGGUUGACAAAACGACACUGUAUUUAGAUGAUGGUGUAAAUUUUAACAUGUUAAACAUGUGUUUUAUCUUGGUUUAUUGUGAUCUAAUACAAAUAAAUAUCGUUAUUGAAUUUUAGGUUAUCGUGUAAAGUUGUAAAAUAUUACAAAGUGGUGCAAGUGGGAAAAUGGGAUCAAAAGGAGAGUAUUGAUAUGAUUUCGUUCCAAUUAUAACUUAUUUUUUUAGUUUAAUGAGACAUAGGAAAAAGCCUACACUUUAGUGUUUUGCCUCUUGAACUUCCUUUGAGCUAUAUAUCCAAAAUUAAUAAUGAUUUUUUAGCACGUGUCUCCUCUUUAAUGGCCUCUAAGGUACCACACUAUAGAGAAGAGCUAAUGAAUCCUUGUUUUCUAUAUAAGGAGAUGGAUCCAUGCAUUCUAAGCAUACAUUCCUAUCCAUGGCUAUUCCUAAAGUGUUGUGCAUUGGCUUUCUUCUUUUUGUGGGUUUAGGGUUAGCUUCGGCUGCCCGAACUCUUCUUGAUUAUGAUCCACGUACACGUCGCUAUGAUUACGAUCAUCCUACUCCAAGAGUAGGGUACGACCCAAGUCAUCGUGAUCAAUCCUAUGAUAGUGCAUACAGUGGAAGUUCUAGUAAAGGAUAUGGAGUUGGAGACUCUGCUCUUGGAGGUUCUGGACGAUAUGAAGGUGGUGGAGGACGUGAUUCCGGAUAUGGAGGUCGAAAUGAUGAUCAUGGUGUGGGAUAUGAAGGUCGAAAUGAUGGUCGUGGUGCUGGAUACGGAAGUCGAAAUGAUGAUCGCAGUGCUGGAUAUGGAGGUCGAAAUGAUGAUCGUGGUGCUGGAUAUGGAGGUCGAAAUGAUGAUCGUGGUGCUGGAUAUGGAGGUCGAAAUGAUGAUCACGGUGCUGGAUAUGGAAGUCGAAAUGAUGAUCAUGGUGCUGGAUAUGGAGGUCGAAAUGAUGAUCGUGGGGUUGGAUAUGGUAAUGGUGGUGGAUAUGGAAGUGUAGGAGGACAUGGUGAUGGUUAUGGUAACAAUGGUGGUGGAAGCUAUGGAGAUCGUUAUGGCCCUUCUCUUGGAGGUUCGGGAUAUGGAAGUGGAGGAAAAGGAAGUGGCAAUGGCUAUGAUGAUCAUUCUCGUGGAAAUGGAGCACGUGACAAUAACUAUGGAGAUUCUCACGGACAUGAAGGACGUGACAGUGGAUAUGGAAGUGGUGGAGGAGUUAGCGGAGGCUAUGGCAAUGGAGGAGUUCAUGGAGGGGAGCAUGAUAAUAGCAAAGGAAGUGGAGAAGAAGGGGGUAGUGAUGGUGGAUAUGCUUUCAAAAAUUCCAUCUCAAACAAGAAUUGAGAACUCUCUUUUAAGCAAUGAACCCAAUAUCAUAUUAUGUUAAAGAAAAAUAAGGAAAUUGGGUAAGAAUGAAUAAUGUUGUGUUCUAAAUGUAUGUUGAAUUUACUUCAAAUGAAUGCUAAAUUUGAAUCAAUGAAUUAUGUUUGGAUUAUGUUUGUUGUUACAAAUUGAUUCCACCUUUCUUUUUGUUUUGUUUCUCUAUACAUUUUUCUAUAUAUCCAUAUUAAUAUGGAUUGAUUUUGGACCGAAUCGAAUGACAUAAUAAUCUAUGCCAAAUAAGAGUAAAACCACAUAGCCAAGAAAAUGAUAAGAGUAAAAGGAAAAAUAGUAUGUACAAUGUAAGACAAAUAAUUGUGUCUAGGAGAAGAGGGUGUUACUCAAGCCAAUGCAUUUAACCUCGACAAGACUCAACCUCAAGUUGAGCCUAACAAAAUGUCUAGUUGGGCAUACCCUUGUCAAAAUGCAUCACUUUAAUUAAGACUAAAAUAAACAUAUAGAGAAGGGAGUUUGAGCUUGAUAGGUCGAGACCAAUCCUAGCAGAAUAUUAAACAGAACUUGCCCUUCACAUGCCUCAACCUAAGUGAGUUGAAAAGGUUAUCGUAUCGUACCUCCAAAACUCUAUUCGGACAUAACCUAACUAAUUAACUAGGUUUAUUUAAUUCUACAAAUAAAUCAUUAGAGCUCUACAGAAACAAACUCUAUUCUCACUCAAUUUCUUUGACAUUUUUCAACUCUCUCUAAAAGCCAAAUAGGCACAACCCUAAAUCCUUACAUCUUCAAACCCUGUGUUUUAAUUACUAUGGAUAAAAGAGAACACAAAUCAAAUUUUACUUUCUUAUAUUUAGAUCAUAUUUCUUUUGAAAUUCAAAGUAAUGGAUAACACAAUAUGCUUCCAUUUCUAAUUUAAAUGAAAAUUUCAACAUUCCUAAUUACUGAUUUAUUUACACAAAAUAGCCCAAAGUAAAUAACUAUAAGUGAGUUUUCUUUACUAUUAUUUUGGUGAGUGAAGAUACUAUGAGUUUUUAUAUCACUAAAAUGUGAUAAUUUUUCCAACCAUUAUUGUAUUAGCAAAUGGGAAAUAAAUUAUUUAAUAAUGUAUCUAUAAAGUGGGAAGAAUUAGGGAAACAAAAUGCAUAAUUAAAUAUGUAAAAAAACUAUAGUAAUGCUAUGUCGUUUCAGAAACCAUUUGAAGAGUUAAGGAAAAAAGAGGGGAAAAAAAGCUCUAAUAUAAUAUAUGCUCUUUAGUCCUUUUUCUUAAAAAAAAAUUAAUGCUCUUUAAUUAGUUUGAAAUAGCCAUAUAAAUUAAAUAUCUUCCUAAAAGGAAAGAUGGGUUCUCAAGAAAAAAUAUAUUUCAAUGCUUCUUUUUCUUUUUCUUUUUCUUAAUCCUUGUUGAUGAAGAGAAUUCAGGCUUAAAAAUGGAGAAUUUCAUAUUUUCUAAUAUUUUACACUUUUUUCAACCUCAUAAACAAAUUUUGAUUAAAUGGUUGUAGUAAAGAUACUUUUCUUUUUUUUUCACCAAAAACAGCUUUAUUUUAUUUUAAUCUUCUGUCAUAUUUGUAUCGAGAAAAUUAAAUAAAUACUAUUUUUUUUCAAUAUAUUUAAUUUCGUUUUAAAAUAAAGGGAAAAUCCCUAGAAAUCAUCACUUUUCUCUUCUUCUUUGAAGACCCUCUUCUUUUAUGGUAUAACUUUCAUUAGUUGUUCUUAAUAUGCUUCUUUUAACUUUAACUGUCAAAUAUAUAUAUACACAUACAACGAUAAUUUAUCCUUAAUAUCAGAUAUAAAGUUUUUUUUAUGCAUGGCUCUAAUCCAAAAGACUUCAAAAAAAAAAUUACCAAAAUGUAAAUCGAUGAUGAGAAAUUAAAAAAUUGAUAUGGCUAAUGUUUAAUAAGCUAGAUUGAUUGAUAAGUUACUCAUCCCACAAUUACUUGAUUUUGAGAUGAAACGUCAAGUUAUCUAAUAUUAUAUCGUAACUCGCGAAAACAUAAACGAACAUUCAGAUCAAAAAAAUAAAUAUUGGAGUCCAAUUCAAGAAUGAUGAACCCAAAGAGAGACAUCAUUUAUCAAUGGUGUGUAUACUAGCCAAGGAUCUUAUCAUGCUAGAAUAAUUGAGGGACCUUUUAUGUUUAUAUAUAAGAUGUAUAUGUUUCUUCUCUUAUAUUUUAUAUUGGUUUUAAGAUGUAAAGCUCAUGUUAUCUAAUAUAUGAUGUCGGUUGUUCGAAAAUUCGAUGUAAAAAUAGUAAAUAAUCGAAAGAAGCACGGAUCCCAAAAGGACAUAUCAAGGAAACCUCACACCAUGCAUCUUUAUAAGUCCCUCACACCAUGCAUUCAAAAACUAUAAUUGAGGGACCUCACACCAUGUCAUGCAUCUUUAUAACGUCAAUCAUACAUAUCUAUUAUUAAUUUCCUCUCAUAUGGCUCAUGAUAUACUACGUGUAACAAUUUUUCAUUGCCAAGAAAUUUCCAAAUUGUAAUAGUGGUAAGUUAUGAAAUGAUUUUCUUACAAAUAUCUUCAUAGAUAAAUUAAUAAUAAAACAUCAUGUGUGAACGGCAGAAUCCAAUUGACUGAAAAAUCAUUUUGGAGUAAUAUUAUCGGUUGUGAGCACAAUCCUUUGAUCUAUUUGGUGGGAAAGAAACAGUAGAACCUUUACUUGAGAAGCUAUAAUUCUUACAUUUUUAUUAAUUAUCAUAUUACUUCGUCUUUAUUUUAAAAAUAUUCAUACAAGACAUGAGAGAUUAGCAUAGGCAUUCAAAUAUCAAUACCUUUGAACAAAAAAGCUUUUCCUUGGCCCUAAAAAAGUUGUACAACAAUUAACAAAACACUCCAAUAUUAAGGUUAAUAGGAAGAAUGCCUAAACUUAACUAUAAAAAUUGUUUGGAACUACAAAACUAAGCAAACUAAGGUGGCUAAACUCAACAUGAAAAUAAAGAAGAGUAAUUUAAACUUAGAUAUUUAUUCAUGUCACCUAAACUUUUAAAGUCGUUUUUGAUUGCAUGCUCCUCUAAACUUUAUCAAAUCUUGCGAGAUCAUGUAAGGGGAAAGAUGGAAUCAACUUAGCCUUACUUUAAUUUAAUAUGUUUUAGUACCACAUGUCAACAUAAAAUAAAGAAAUUAGGUUAGAGAGAAGGUUGUGAUCUAAAUCUAAGUACAUUAAUUAAUGUCAAAUUUCAAUCCAUGUUUGAAUGAUAAACAAAUUUGGAGUAAAGAAUAUUACUCAACCAUACAUAAGUAAGACUUCAACUCUAAUUGAAAGGGGCUGACAAGUAUAGUUACUCCUAAACUGUCUACAAAUAUUAAAUAUUAUAUGAAGACAAUAAAGUUAAGGGGAGUUCGAGUCCCCUAGACCUAUACUAAAUCCGUCGGUCAUGGUGAUGGUGCACAACACUCAAUUGUUCAACACAACUAUGAUGAAUUUUUUUGUUUGUUGGGAGAGAAAACACUAAUAUGUUUUAUUUCAUUAAAAUGUGAUAUUUUUGUCCCAUGAUUAUUGUAUAGAGAAAUGGGAAAUUAUAUAUAUAGUGUAAGCUUCAAGUGGGAAUUAGGAAACACAUGCAUAAAUAUAAAGUUACGAUAAUUAUAGUAAUGCAAUGUCGUUUCAGAAGCCCAUUAUUCAUCCUCUCAAUUAUCUCAUGCAUGGUGGCUCUCAUCAAGUUGAGAAAAAGGAAAAAAAAUAGGCCUAAUAAAAUAUAUGUUCUUUGUUUCUUGGUAACCAUUGUAAAUUAAUCGUAAUAUAAAUAUCUUCUAAAAGAGAAAAAAAGAAGACUCUCAAGACAAAUUAUCAUGCUUCGUCAAUCCUCUUUUUUUUUUUUUUUUUUUUCCUCAAUCUUUAAUGAUAGAAGAAAAUUUUAGCUCAAUAAAAUUGAAAUUUUUGUAUUUUAAAAAAUUUAUGAUGUUUUUUAACACGUGUAUAUAUAUAUAAUGAACAAUAUAACAAAAUAUCACAUUAAGUUUUACUAUAUAUUUAUAAAUAUUUUUUUAAUUAAUUUUUUCACUUAAUUUAAAAAUAUUUUUUCUAUAUAAAUAUUAUUAAUAAAGAACAAUUACAUUAGCUUCUCUUUUUACGUAUAACUCUUACUUUGGAUUGAACUUUUAACUCUUGAAAAGAGCAUUAGUGAGCCAAUUAAUUCACUUUGACUACAUAACUUUCUUUAGUUGCUUAAUAUAUUUGUUUUGGUGUUAAACUAUCAUUAUAACAGAACAAUUAGGAUAGUUUUCAUUUUCGUGUAUAACGUUUUUCUAUGGUCGAUAUCUAAGGAAAUAAUCAAAAAAACAAAUGUACUUACAAUAAAUUUCAUUGUGUCAUAAAAUGAAAUUUCCAAAUUAUGUAAGUGUUAAGUUGUAAAAGUUGAUAAUCAAAUUUCAAUGUGAAAUUAUAUAUUUUGGAAAUAUCUGCACCAUAGACAAAAAUUAAUAAACAAACUUCUCAAAAUUAAGUGUGUUAAUUAUAAGAGAAUGCCUAAACUUAACUAUAAAAAAAUAAGUUGGAGCCAAAACUAAUUAGCUAAAAUAUUAAGGUGAAUUUAUCACAAAAAGUACAAACAAGUGAAGUAAGGUGGUGUUGCAUAAAGCCUACUGAUUUUCAACUUUGGCUUUCUAAAUUUGAGCUCCUCACGUUUUCACACAAAAGCUUCUCACAACCUUUGAAUAAGAUCCUCUCAAAAGAACAUCAACUACUGAUGUAUUAAACUAAUAAAGAGCCAGCCUAGUUUACUUGACUACUAGUAACAUCCUCAACAGUGACGUACAUUUAAUUUCACAAACAGUGCGUAAGGAUUAAGGUUAAACAAUCUCUCAAAACAUGCACACACAGUAUUUUUAACAGAGCUAAUUAACCCUAAAAAUAAACAAAACUCAUAAUAUAUAUGGAAGCUGAUCUUGAGCAGAUAGGAAAAAAGAUUAUCAAAAAGAAUAGAAAAACAAAUUAAAUCAGCAGGUUUAAUUUUCCCUACACGGUUCAAUAGAUUAAGAAAAAAAUCUUGAUACAAAAUUCGAAGGAGAAAUAUAGAUUUUGACAGAAAAUGUUACAAAACAAGUUGCUCAAGUUUUGCUUGUAACAAAAUCCGCCAAUCGUAGUACAGUAACACAUAAGCAACUAAAAUGACUGAUCUCAACAAGAAUGGAAACACUAGAUAUGUUACAAGAGAACAUGCAUAAAUACAGUUUGGUCUAAUUAAAAAAACAGUGUCUUAGAUAACACAAGAAGGUAGAAAAAUAGAUGAGAGAGUAAUCAAACUUAGCUGACAAAUAUGGAUAUUAAUGAAUUUCACCUGAACUUUAUAUAGUUUUUCUUUACUCUUCUCUAAAUCUUACCAAAUAUUGCAAGAUCGUGUAAGUGGACAAUGGAAUAAUCGUAAUAAUCAAUUGAAGCCUUACAUAAAAUAUCGAUGUGUUUUAGUACCAAAAUCGAACUUUAGUUAGUACCUAAUAUGACAAAAGGCCUCACUACGUAGUAUUUUGCCUCAUGGACAUCCAUGGAGAAGUUGAUGAACCCACCACUUUUUUUAAACAUAUGACACCCUCUUUACCGUGAAGGACACCAUAGAGAAGUUGAAGAGACCCUCCACCCAUUUCCUAUAUAAAGAGAUCAAUGCAUGCAUUUUCUUGGCAUUCUACUCAUUCUCUAAUUCUCUCCAUGGCUAUCCUUAGAGCACUGUGCCUUGCCUUUCUUCUCUUUGUACGGUUAGGUUUAGCUUCGGCUACUAGAACUCUUCUUGAUUAUGAUCCACGUACACUUCAAUAUGGCUAUGAUCGUCCUAGUCCAAGAGUAGGGUAUGAUCCUGGCCAUGGGGAUGAAUCCUAUGAUAAGGCAUACGGUGGAAGCUCUAGUAGAGGACAUGGAAUUGGAGACUCUGCUCUUGGAGGUUCUGGAUACGAAGGUGGUGGAAGACACGAUUAUGGAUAUGGAGAUCGACAUAAUGAUCGUGGGGUUGGAUAUGGUAAUUAUGGUGGUGGAUAUGGAGGUGUAGGAGGACAUGGUGAUGGUUAUGGUAACAAUGGUGGUGGAAGCUAUGGAGAUCGUUAUGGACCUUCUCUUGGAGGUUCAGGAUAUGGAAGUGGAGGAAAAGGAAGUGGCAAUGGCUAUGACGAUCAUUCUCGUGGAAAUGGUGCACGUGACAAUAGCUAUGGAGAUUCUCAUGGACAUGGAGGACGUGACAGUGGAUAUGGGAGUGGUGGAGGAGUUACUGGUGGCUAUGGUAAUGGAGGAGUGCAUGGAGGAGAGUAUGAUAAUAGCAAAGGAAGUGGAGAAGAAGGAGGUUAUGAUGGUGGAUAUGCUGUUAAGAACUCCAUCUCAAAGGGAAAUUGAGAAACCCUUGGCUUCUUUUUCUUAUUAUACUAUGCCAGCUAAAAUAAAAAUAUGGGGUAAGGGAUCAAGAAUAUUGUUAUCUAAAUCUAUGUUUGAGUUGCUCUUGUAAUGAAUGUAAUUAAUGAUAUAAACAAAAUUUGGAUUACAUUUUGUAUGAACCAAGUGAUUGGACCAUAUACACUUCUAUUCUUAUUAACUUUGAUUUGAGUAACACAAGCAAUAAUUAAACUUUUUUAUUUAUGACUAAUUUUAAAACUUGGGUUAAUAAUGAUGCAAUAUACAUGAAGAUGUGGGAAGAGAAAGGUAUACAGAGUGUGGUGCUCACCCCACACUCAAACUUUGAUGAAUUCCUUUUUUAUUUUCUUUUUACAUAGUUUUAAAAUAACUUGACAUUUACUUCACAAGACUAAUAUCCUUUUCUAAUACUCAUUUAAAUAGUUUUUGUCAUGACGAGAUGGAUCCCAGAGUUGAUUAGUUUUAAAAUUUUACCUUUUCUAAUAUGACAAUGCUAUAAUCUUAAAUCGGUUUAGAAAAUCUAUUUUAGUAAUUGGAAACUCCUUUAGAUUUUUUUAAAUUCAUAUAAUCGUGAAAAUAUAAAUUAUGCAGAAGAGGUUUAGAAAACAAAAUUCAUGCAAUAGCCAAAUUUGCACUUCCUUUGCUAUUAUCAUACUCUCCUAUUUUUUUGUGAUUUUUCAUUUUUAACUAUAAUUUUACAUAUAUGUGCAUAUCAUAUAUAUAUAUUGGACAUGGUGCAUAAGCACUUUGAGAUUUAUAUAUCUCUCUAUAAAACGUGAUCAUUUUCCCUCCAUUAUUAAUUAUAGUAUUAUGAUAUCAAAUGGAAUAGAUUAUGUCUCAAGGUGGGAAUUAAUUAUAUAUUUAGCAUUGUAAAUGCAAAGUAGUUUGAGAAAACCCAUUUCUUCAUCUCAAUGAUCUAAAUGACAUAAACAAAGAGAAAAAUAGUAAUAAUUAAACCUAAUAAAUGU